rnacentral:rRNA from 1 species
GACGAACGCUGGCGGCGUGCUUAACACAUGCAAGUCGAACGGAAAGGCCCUUCGGGGUACUCGAGUGGCGAACGGGUGAGUAACACGUGGGUGAUCUGCCCUGCACUUUGGGAUAAGCCUGGGAAACUGGGUCUAAUACCGAAUAGGACCACGCGCUUCAUGGUGUGUGGUGGAAAGCUUUUGCGGUGUGGGAUGGGCCCGCGGCCUAUCAGCUUGUUGGUGGGGUAAUGGCCUACCAAGGCGACGACGGGUAGCCGGCCUGAGAGGGUGACCGGCCACACUGGGACUGAGAGACGGCCCAGACUCCUACGGGAGGCAGCAGUGGGGAAUAUUGCACAAUGGGCGCAAGCCUGAUGCAGCGACGCCGCGGGAGGGAUGACGGCCUUCGGGUUGUAAACCUCUUUCAAUAGGGACGAAGCGAAAGUGACGGGACCUAUAGAAGAAGCACCGGCCAACUACGUG